GGCAUCCUCUGCUAACAUGUGCAAAACGGCUCUGGGAGAUCUGUGUUUGCAGUCUGAUCCUUAGGAGAGCGGCUUCCUUGGGGGAGUAAAUUGGCUCCUGAGCUCUGAAAGGAGCUAAAGAAACCAUAAUUUUGUGGUUUCAUUCUGGAAAGGGGCAGUGCGGAUUCCGGACAAAACUGAGAGAUUCCUAUGCCUACCUUCAUUAGUCUGGGUUCCUCCAC